AGAACGAACGCUGGCGGCAGGCCUAACACAUGCAAGUCGAGCGCCGUAGCAAUACGGAGUGGCAGACGGGUGAGUAACGCGUGGGAACAUACCCUUCGGUUCGGAAUAACUCAGGGAAACUUGAGCUAAUACCGGAUACGUCCGAGGUUUUAAUCGACCUUGGAGAAAGAUUUAUCGCCGGAGGAUUGGCCCGCGUCUGAUUAGCUUGUUGGUGAGGUAAUGGCUCACCAAGGCGACGAUCAGUAGCUGGUCUGAGAGGAUGAUCAGCCACAUUGGGACUGAGACACGGCCCAAACUCCUACGGGAGGCAGCAGUGGGGAAUAUUGGACAAUGGGCGAAAGCCUGAUCCAGCCAUGCCGCGUGAGUGAUGAAGGCCUUAGGGUUGUAAAGCUCUUUUACCCGGGAAGAUAAUGACGGUACCGGGAGAAUAAGCCCCGGCUAACUUCGCGCCAGCAGCCGC
rnacentral:rRNA from 1 species